rnacentral:rRNA from 1 species
CUUAAAUUGAAGAGUUUGAUCAUGGCUCAGAUUGAACGCUGGCGGCAGGCCUAACACAUGCAAGUCGAGCGGUAGCACAAGAGAGCUUGCUCUCUGGGUGACGAGCGGCGGACGGGUGAGUAAUGUCUGGGAAACUGCCUGAUGGAGGGGGAUAACUACUGGAAACGGUAGCUAAUACCGCAUAACCUCGCAAGAGCAAAGAGGGGGACCUUCGGGCCUCUCGCCAUCAGAUGUGCCCAGAUGGGAUUAGCUAGUAGGUGAGGUAAUGGCUCACCUAGGCGACGAUCCCUAGCUGGUCUGAGAGGAUGACCAGCCACACUGGAACUGAGACACGGUCCAGACUCCUACGGGAGGCAGCAGUGGGGAAUAUUGCACAAUGGGCGCAAGCCUGAUGCAGCCAUGCCGCGUGUGUGAAGAAGGCCUUCGGGUUGUAAAGCACUUUCAGCGAGGAGGAAGGCAGUCGUGUUAAUAGCACGGCUGAUUGACGUUACUCGCAGAAGAAGCACCGGCUAACUCCGUGCCAGCAGCCGCGGUAAUACGGAGGGUGCAAGCGUUAAUCGGAAUGACUGGGCGUAAAGCGCACGCAGGCGGUCUGUUAAGUUGGAUGUGAAAUCCCCGGGCUUAACCUGGGAACUGCAUUCAAAACUGACAGGCUAGAGUCUUGUAGAGGGGGGUAGAAUUCCAGGUGUAGCGGUGAAAUGCGUAGAGAUCUGGAGGAAUACCGGUGGCGAAGGCGGCCCCCUGGACAAAGACUGACGCUCAGGUGCGAAAGCGUGGGGAGCAAACAGGAUUAGAUACCCUGGUAGUCCACGCUGUAAACGAUGUCGAUUUGGAGGUUGUGCCCUUGAGGCGUGGCUUCCGGAGCUAACGCGUUAAAUCGACCGCCUGGGGGUACGGCCGCAAGGUUAAAACUCAAAUGAAUUGACGGGGGCCCGCACAAGCGGUGGAGCAUGUGGUUUAAUUCGAUGCAACGCGCGAAGAACCUUACCUACUCUUGACAUCCAGAGAAUUAGCUAGAGAUAGCUGAGUGCCUUCGGGAACUCUGAGACAGGUGCUGCAUGGCUGUCGUCAGCUCGUGUUGUGAAAUGUUGGGUUAAGUCCCGCAACGAGCGCAACCCUUUAUCCUUUGUUGCCAGCGAUUCGGUCGGGAACUCAAAGGAGACUGCCGGUGAUAAACCGGAGGAAGGUGGGGAUGACGUCAAGUCAUCAUGGCCCUUACGAGUAGGGCUACACACGUGCUACAAUGGCGUAUACAAAGAGAAGCGACCUCGCGAGAGCAAGCGGACCUCAUAAAGUACGUCGUAGUCCGGAUUGGAGUCUGCAACUCGACUCCAUGAAGUCGGAAUCGCUAGUAAUCGUAGAUCAGAAUGCUACGGUGAAUACGUUCCCGGGCCUUGUACACACCCCCCGUCACACCAUGGGAGUGGGUUGCAAAAGAAGUAGGUAGCUUAACCUUCGGGAGGGCGCUUACCACUUUGUGAUUCAUGACUGGGGUGAAGUCGUAACAAGGUAACCGUAGGGGAACCUGCGGUUGGAUCACCUCCUUACCAAGAAG